rnacentral:tRNA from 1 species
UCCCUGGUGGUCUAGUGAUUAGGACUCAGCGCUUUUACUGCUGCAGCCCUGGUUCAGUUCCUGGUCUGGGAA